rnacentral:rRNA from 1 species
CUUACCAAACCGAUGCAAACUCCGAAUACCUACAAGUGCCGAGCAUGGGAGACACACGGCGGGUGCUAACGUCCGUCGUGAAAAGGGAAACAACCCAGACCGUCAGCUAAGGUCCCAAAGUUAUGGUUAAGUGGGAAACGAUGUGGGAAGGCUUAGACAGCUAGGAGGUUGGCUUAGAAGCAGCCACCCUUUAAAGAAAGCGUAAUAGCUCACUAGUCGAGUCGGCCUGCGCGGAAGAUUUAACGGGGCUCAAACCAUACACCGAAGCUACGGGUAUCAUCUUAGGAUGAUGCGGUAGAGGAGCGUUCUGUAAGCCUGUGAAGGUGAGUUGAGAAGCUUGCUGGAGGUAUCAGAAGUGCGAAUGCUGACAUGAGUAACGAUAAUGGGUGUGAAAAACACCCACGCCGAAAGACCAAGGUUUCCUGCGCAACGUUAAUCGACGCAGGGUUAGUCGGUCCCUAAGGCGAGGCUGAAAAGCGUAGUCGAUGGAAAACAGGUUAAUAUUCCUGUACUUCUGGUUAUUGCGAUGGAGGGACGGAGAAGGCUAGGCCAGCUUGGCGUUGGUUGUCCAAGUUUAAGGUGGUAGGCUGGAAUCUUAGGUAAAUCCGGGAUUCUAAGGCCGAGAGCUGAUGACGAGUGUUCUUUUAGAACACGAAGUGGUUGAUGCCAUGCUUCCAAGAAAAGCUUCUAAGCUUCAGGUAACCAGGAACCGUACCCCAAACCGACACAGGUGGUUGGGUAGAGAAUACCAAGGCGCUUGAGAGAACUCGGGUGAAGGAACUAGGCAAAAUGGCACCGUAACUUCGGGAGAAGGUGCGCCGAUGGAGGUGAAGCAUUUACUGCGUAAGCCCCUGUCGGUCGAAGAUACCAGGCCGCUGCGACUGUUUAUUAAAAACACAGCACUCUGCAAACACGAAAGUGGACGUAUAGGGUGUGACGCCUGCCCGGUGCCGGAAGGUUAAUUGAUGGGGUUAGCUAACGCGAAGCUCUUGAUCGAAGCCCCGGUAAACGGCGGCCGUAACUAUAACGGUCCUAAGGUAGCGAAAUUCCUUGUCGGGUAAGUUCCGACCUGCACGAAUGGCGUAACGAUGGCGGCGCUGUCUCCACCCGAGACUCAGUGAAAUUGAAAUCGCUGUGAAGAUGCAGUGUAUCCGCGGCUAGACGGAAAGACCCCGUGAACCUUUACUAUAGCUUUGCACUGGACUUUGAAUUUGCUUGUGUAGGAUAGGUGGGAGGCUUUGAAGCGUGAACGCCAGUUUGCGUGGAGCCAACCUUGAAAUACCACCCUGGCAACUUUGAGGUUCUAACUCAGGUCCGUUAUCCGGAUCGAGGACAGUGUAUGGUGGGUAGUUUGACUGGGGCGGUCUCCUCCUAAAGAGUAACGGAGGAGUACGAAGGUGCGCUCAGACCGGUCGGAAAUCGGUCGUAGAGUAUAAAGGCAAAAGCGCGCUUGACUGCGAGACAGACACGUCGAGCAGGUACGAAAGUAGGUCUUAGUGAUCCGGUGGUUCUGUAUGGAAGGGCCAUCGCUCAACGGAUAAAAGGUACUCCGGGGAUAACAGGCUGAUACCGCCCAAGAGUUCAUAUCGACGGCGGUGUUUGGCACCUCGAUGUCGGCUCAUCACAUCCUGGGGCUGAAGCCGGUCCCAAGGGUAUGGCUGUUCGCCAUUUAAAGUGGUACGCGAGCUGGGUUUAGAACGUCGUGAGACAGUUCGGUCCCUAUCUGCCGUGGACGUUUGAGAUUUGAGAGGGGCUGCUCCUAGUACGAGAGGACCGGAGUGGACGAACCUCUGGUGUUCCGGUUGUCACGCCAGUGGCAUUGCCGGGUAGCUAUGUUCGGGAAAGAUAACCGCUGAAAGCAUCUAAGCGGGAAACUUGCCUCAAGAUGAGAUCUCACUGGAACCUUGAGUUCCCUAAAGGGCCGUCGAAGACUACGACGUUGAUAGGUUGGGUGUGUAAGCGCUGUGAGGCGUUGAGCUAACCAAUACUAAUUGCCCGUGAGGCUUGACCAUAUAACACCCAAGCAAUU